rnacentral:rRNA from 1 species
GUUGCCAGCCGCCGCGGUAAUACCGGCAGCCCAAGUGAUGGCCGAUCUUAUUGGGCCUAAAGCGUCCGUAGCUGGCCGCGCAAGUCCAUCGGAAAAUCCACCCGCCCAACGGGUGGGCGUCCGGUGGAAACUGUGUGGCUUGGGACCGGAAGGCGCGACGGGUACGUCCGGGGUAGGAGUGAAAUCCCGUAAUCCUGGACGGACCGCCGAUGGCGAAAGCACGUCGCGAAGACGGAUCCGACAGUGAGGGACGAAAGCUAGGGUCUCGAACCGGAUUAGAAACCCUAGUAGUCC